GCCAGACUCCUACGGGAGGCAGCAGUGGGGAAUAUUGGGCAAUGGGCGCAAGCCUGACCCAGCAACGCCGCGUGAAGGAAGAAGGCUUUCGGGUUGUAAACUUCUUUUCUGAGGGACGAAGGAAGUGACGGUACCUCAGGAAUAAGCCACGGCUAACUACGUGCCAGCAGCCGCGGUAAUACGUAGGUGGCAAGCGUUAUCCGGAUUUAUUGGGUGUAAAGGGCGUGUAGGCGGGAAUGCAAGUCAGAUGUGAAAACUAUGGGCUCAACCCAUAGCCUGCAUUUGAAACUGUAUUUCUUGAGUGCUGGAGAGGCAAUCGGAAUUCCGUGUGUAGCGGUGAAAUGCGUAGAUAUUAGGAAGAACACCAGUGGCGAAGGCGGCUUACUGGACAGUAACUGACGUUGAGGCUCGAAAGCGUGGGGAGCAAACAGGAUUAGAUACCCGCGUAA
rnacentral:rRNA from 1 species